rnacentral:rRNA from 1 species
GUCCACGCUGUAAACGAUGGGCACUAGGUGUCCGGGGUAUUGACCCCCUGGGUGCCGCAGCUAACGCAUUAAGUGCCCCGCCUGGGGAGUACGGUCGCAAGAUUAAAACUCAAAGGAAUUGACGGGGGCCCGCACAAGCGGUGGAGCAUGUGGUUUAAUUCGACGCAACGCGAAGAACCUUACCUGGGCUAGACAACAGCGGAUCGUCCUAGAAAUAGGAACUUCCCUUCGGGGACCGCUGGUUCAGGUGCUGCAUGGCUGUCGU